UAGGGAAUCUUCGGCAAUGGACGAAAGUCUGACCGAGCAACGCCGCGUGAGUGAAGAAGGUUUUCGGAUCGUAAAACUCUGUUGUUAGAGAAGAACAAGGACGUUAGUAACUGAACGUCCCCUGACGGUAUCUAACCAGAAAGCCACGGCUAACUACGUGCCAGCAGCCGCGGUAAUACGUAGGUGGCAAGCGUUGUCCGGAUUUAUUGGGCGUAAAGCGAGCGCAGGCGGUUUCUUAAGUCUGAUGUGAAAGCCCCCGGCUCAACCGGGGAGGGUCAUUGGAAACUGGGAGACUUGAGUGCAGAAGAGGAGAGUGGAAUUCCAUGUGUAGCGGUGAAAUGCGUAGAGAUCUGGAGGAAUACCGGUGGCGAAGGCGGCCCCCUGGACAAAGACUGACGCUCAGGUGCGAAAGCGUGGGGAGCAAACAGG
rnacentral:rRNA from 1 species